rnacentral:tmRNA from 1 species
GGGGGCGCACUGGUUUCGACGGGGACGUGGAAGCCGGGGUAGCAGGCCGAGGCGCCGCUGGCCUCGUAAAAAGCGGCAACAAAAGUAAUUGCCAACGAUAACGAUUACGCCUACGCCUGCGCUGCCUAGUCAGCGUCUGGCAUUGACUGUUUAACAGUCGGGUCUGGAGGGGGGACGCCCAAUAACCUCUUCGGGCCUCAUCUUAUUGGGCUGGCGGGAGCAGGUGCCGACCGGUGCUUUCGCGAGGAAUCUACGGCUGGCUGGCAUUUCCGGCGCCUGGCUGGUGGCUCCCGGAAGUGCGAGAUUUAAUAUCAGCCUAAGCCUGUAGAAGCUUUGCGUGGAACCUUCUCGGACGGGAGUUCGACUCUCCCCGCCUCCACCA